GUGCCAGCAGCCGCGGUAAUACGGAAGGUCCGGGCGUUAUCCGGAUUUAUUGGGUUUAAAGGGAGCGCAGGCUGUCGUUUAAGCAUGCUGUGAAAUGUAGGCGCUCAACGUCUGCACUGCAGCGUGAACUGGAUGACUUGAGUACGCGGGAAGUAGGCGGAAUUCGUCGUGUAGCGGUGAAAUGCUUAGAUAUGACGAAGAACUCCGAUUGCGAAGGCAGCUUACUGUAGCGCAACUGACGCUAAAGCUCGAAAGUGCGGGUAUCGAACAGGAUUAGAUACCCUGGUAGUCCGCACGGUAAACGAUGGAUGCUCGCUGUUAGCCUAUAUGGUUAGUGGCCAAGCGAAAGCAUUAAGCAUCCCACCUGGGGAGUACGCCGGCAACGGUGAAACUCAAAGGAAUUGACGGGGGCCCGCACAAGCGGAGGAACAUGUGGUUUAAUUCGAUGAUACGCGAGGAACCUUACCCGGGCUUGAACUGCAGGAGAACGAUACAGAGAUGUUGAGGUCCUUCGGGACUCCUGUGGAGGUGCUGCAUGGUUGUCGUCAGCUCGUGCCGUGAGGUGUCGGCUUAAGUGCCAUAACGAGCGCAACCCCUUUCCUUAGUUGCCAUCAGGUUAUGCUGGGCACUCUGGGGAUACUGCCACCGUAAGGUGUGAGGAAGGUGGGGAUGACGUCAAAUCAGCACGGCCCUUACGUCCGGGGCUACACACGUGUUACAAUGGCGCAUACAGAGAGCCGGUCUAUGGCAACAUAGAUCAAAUCCUUAAAAUGCGUCGUAGUUCGGAUUGGGUCUGCAACCCGACCCCAUGAAGCUGGAUUCGCUAGUAAUCGCGUAUCAGCCAUGGCGCGGUGAAUACGUUCCCGGGCCUUGUACACACCGCCCGU
rnacentral:rRNA from 1 species